GCAGUUAUGCAGACAAUCGCAUCACUUUGUGAUGAGGAAAGUCCGAGCAUCAAGAGAGCUGGGUGCUGGCUAACGGCCAGCGGGGGCGACCUUAGGGAUAGUGCAACAGAAAUAAACCGCCCGCAAGGGUAAGGAUGGAAAGGUGGUGUAAGAGACCACCGCUUGGGCAGAGAUGCGCAAGGCUCUGUAAACCCCACCUGAUGCAAGGUCAAAAGGACAAUGCGCUUGCUCUCUCGCGUCCUUUAAGCACCGCUAAAGCCUAUUGGCAACAAUAGGCGCAGAUAGAUGAUUGUCAAAUACAGAACUCGGCUUACAGCAUAGGUGCCCGA
rnacentral:RNase_P_RNA from 1 species